rnacentral:lncRNA from 1 species
GGGAAUUAAGAAUUACAAUGAUGUGCAUUUUUUUGAAGCCUGCACUUAUUACCCACAAAAAGGGUGCAUAAUCAAGGUCAGUAAAGUCCAGGACUGAAAGAGUCAGUGCACUGCAGGAAGUAUUACAACAUAAAACAGAUAUCUGCCAUGAAGACAAACACCUACCAGAGAUAUCUAGAACACAGAGGAGCUGCAUAAACAGCCAGCUUUUCAAAUGGAUGGAAUUUUUUUUUCCCACCUACAGUGCCUUCCGUAAAUAACUUCCUCACGAUGAUAAAGCUGCCAUGGAGCUGCACACUGAGAAGCUCUGCCGGAAGAAAAGAUAACUUGAGUAUAUAUCCAAGACAAGACCUUGUCACACACCAGACACAUCUUAGCUCCCCUGACAGAAAAGCCAACCAUCUCAGCAGGGCAGGGGCUGCAGUGGACACAGCAGCUUCCCGUGGCCUUCACAGAUACAGGAACCAGCCCUGA